rnacentral:rRNA from 1 species
UACGGAGGGUGCAAGCGUUAUCCGGAUUCACUGGGUUUAAAGGGUGCGUAGGUGGGCAGGUAAGUCAGUGGUGAAACCCUGUAGCUUAACUACAGAACUGCCAUUGAUACUAUUUGUCUUGAAUACCCUGGAGGUGAGCGGAAUAUGUCAUGUAGCGGUGAAAUGCUUAGAUAUGACAUAGAACAUCUAUUGCGAAGGCAGCUCACUACGAAAAUAUUGACACUGAGUCACGAAA